rnacentral:lncRNA from 1 species
AUAAUAUAAUAAUAUAUUUGAAUAUAUAUAAAUAUAAUUAAAUACAUAUAAAUAUAAUUAUAUUAUUAAAGCAGGAGAAACACAGCAGCCAGGAGCUGCGAAAAUGACAGCACCACAUUCCCUGACCUCUGCAGUGCUUGUCUGAAGCUGUCUGUACCUGUGCUGUUAAACAGGAACCUGCCUCUGUCCUUGAAACCCAGUGGUGUCUCAGCAUGGCUGAACUGUCUUCCCUCCUUGGAAAAGAGCGUUGCCUGGAUUUCUCUUCUGUGACUGGUGAAGAGUGGAAUGGAAAACUUCAAGCCAAAAAUGUGCUGAAGGCUGAUCUCCAUCUUCAUAUUUAUACCUUAAUAUAAGAACCUUUCAUUAUUGGCUUCCCUUUCUGUUUAGAUUUAAUAGGAAUGUUUCAAUUAGGUUCCAGAAGUGAAUGAAAUAUUUGAAUCAUCAAGAGUGUAAGGAUGCAGUGUGGAAGGGUGGAAGGGAAUAUGUUUGUCCCUCCCUUUCCCUCAGUGCAGAGAUGUGUUUGAUGUGCCCCAGAUGUGUUUGAUGUGCCUCAGAUGUGUCUGAUGUUCUAAUACCACAUUCCAGCCCUUUACAGCUCUUCUGUGUUAAGUGUUCAGCCUCGUGGUGAAGGAGAGAGCACAAUUUAUGCUGAGUGCUCCAGCUCUCUGCUGUGCCUUACACUCUCAGAAAUUUUCAGACAAUUUCAGAAGAAUUAUGACACAAAAGGCAUGAAAUUGGAAACAAAAAGCCACAGCUAAAUUGUUUGUAAAGUCACUGCUAUGGAGAUAUAGAUCCAAAUCUUCUGAAGGCAUGAACUGAUGGAACUCUUUGUCUUCAGUGGAGCAAUAAUCUCACUGGCUCACAGCAAAUUAUCCUCUCCUCAUUUGAAAGGCGGUGCAGCAGCAUAAUCAAGGCAGCCAAGGCUGCCUAAAACCUGGGAUUCUUCUUCAAAGGUGAAGUCAGAGAGCUUCUGAAUGCAGCUGCAUGUGGGGUACCCUGAACUCCCUGACAAAACUAUUUGAGCCAUCUACAGCACAGCAUGGGGUGUAAAGAAAGCAGCUAGGACUGAAUUCAUUAAGUGUAGAAAGGAAAAUUUUUAGAUUUUUUUUUUUUAAAAAUAUUAUUCACAGCUCCUUAGUGAGUUCCUAAGAGAAAAAGCACUUUGAGGUAUUAUAUUUCUUCAUCUUUAUCUCCUCCUCCUUCUCCUUUUAUGUACAUAGCAGGGUUUGGCUCUGAGGUACAAUGUCAAAUGAAUUUUAGUGCUUUGUAACCAAAGACAGGAGAAGGAAGUUUUUUCCUCAGCCUUCUGCUAUACUUUAAACCAUCUCCAACUGCCCCAUUUCUUUCUAAGAC